UACAGAGAUCCCAAGCGUUAUUCGGAAUUAUUGGGCGUAAAGGGCGCGUAGGCGGCUUUUCAAGUGACGGGUGAAAUCCCUCGGCUUAACCGAGGAACUGCCUGUCAGACUGGAAGGCUUGAGACCGGGAGAGGUGAGUGGAAUUCCCAGUGUAGCGGUGAAAUGCGUAGAUAUUGGGAGGAACACCAGUGGCGAAGGCGGCUCACUGGACCGGAACUGACGCUGAGGCGCGAAAGCGUGGGGAGCAAACAGG
rnacentral:rRNA from 1 species